rnacentral:rRNA from 1 species
GAUGAACGCUAGCGGAAGGCUUAAUACAUGCAAGUCGAGCGGUAGGUGGCUUCGGCCAUUGAGAGCGGCGCACGGGUGAGUAACGCGUACAUGACCUGCCUGUCAGAAGGGGAUAGCCCUGGGAAACUGGGAUUAAUACCCUAUGGUAUUGAUAUUAUGAAUGAUAUCAAUUAAAGUUGAGGCGCUGACAGAUGGAUGUGCGUCUGAUUAGCUAGUUGGUAGGGUAACGGCCUACCAAGGCGACGAUCAGUAGGGGGCGUGAGAGCGUGGUCCCCCACACGGGUACUGAGACACGGACCCGACUCCUACGGGAGGCAGCAGUAAGGAUAUUGGUCAAUGCCCGCAAGGGUGAACCAGCCAUUCCGCGUGGAGGAUGAAGGCCCUAUGGGUUGUAAACUUCUUUUAGAUGGGAAGAAAAUGCUAGAUGUAUCUGGUACUGACGGUACCAUCAGAAUAAGCACCGGCUAACUCCGUGCCAGCAGCCGCGGU